rnacentral:tRNA from 1 species
GCUGGCAUGGCGCAAUUGGUAGCGCACCUGUCUUGUAAACAGGGGGUUGCGGGUUCGAGUCCCGCUGCCAGCUCCA